rnacentral:rRNA from 1 species
UUAAGCGACUAAGCGUACACGGUGGAUGCCCUGGCAGUCAGAGGCGAUGAAGGACGUGCUAAUCUGCGAUAAGCGUCGGUGAGGUGAUAUGAACCGUUAUAACCGGCGAUUUCCGAAUGGGGAAACCCAGUGUGUUUCGACACACUAUCAUUAACUGAAUCCAUAGGUUAAUGAGGCGAACCGGGGGAACUGAAACAUCUAAGUACCCCGAGGAAAAGAAAUCAACCGAGAUUCCCCCAGUAGCGGCGAGCGAACGGGGAGGAGCCCAGAGCCUGAAUCAGUGUGUGUGUUAGUGGAAGCGUCUGGAAAGGCGCGCGAUACAGGGUGACAGCCCCGUACACAAAAAUGCACAUGCUGUGAGCUCGAUGAGUAGGGCGGGACACGUGGUAUCCUGUCUGAAUAUGGGGGGACCAUCCUCCAAGGCUAAAUACUCCUGACUGACCGAUAGUGAACCAGUACCGUGAGGGAAAGGCGAAAAGAACCCCGGCGAGGGGAGUGAAAAAGAACCUGAAACCGUGUACGUACAAGCAGUGGGAGCCUCUUAAUGGGGUGACUGCGUACCUUUUGUAUAAUGGGUCAGCGACUUAUAUUCUGUAGCAAGGUUAACCGAAUAGGGGAGCCGAAGGGAAACCGAGUCUUAACUGGGCGUUAAGUUGCAGGGUAUAGACCCGAAACCCGGUGAUCUAGCCAUGGGCAGGUUGAAGGUUGGGUAACACUAACUGGAGGACCGAACCGACUAAUGUUGAAAAAUUAGCGGAUGACUUGUGGCUGGGGGUGAAAGGCCAAUCAAACCGGGAGAUAGCUGGUUCUCCCCGAAAGCUAUUUAGGUAGCGCCUCGUGAAUUCAUCUCCGGGGGUAGAGCACUGUUUCGGCAAGGGGGUCAUCCCGACUUACCAACCCGAUGCAAACUGCGAAUACCGGAGAAUGUUAUCACGGGAGACACACGGCGGGUGCUAACGUCCGUCGUGAAGAGGGAAACAACCCAGACCGCCAGCUAAGGUCCCAAAGUCAUGGUUAAGUGGGAAACGAUGUGGGAAGGCCCAGACAGCCAGGAUGUUGGCUUAGAAGCAGCCAUCAUUUAAAGAAAGCGUAAUAGCUCACUGGUCGAGUCGGCCUGCGCGGAAGAUGUAACGGGGCUAAACCAUGCACCGAAGCUGCGGCAGCGACGCUUAUGCGUUGUUGGGUAGGGGAGCGUUCUGUAAGCCUGUGAAGGUGUGCUGUGAGGCAUGCUGGAGGUAUCAGAAGUGCGAAUGCUGACAUAAGUAACGAUAAAGCGGGUGAAAAGCCCGCUCGCCGGAAGACCAAGGGUUCCUGUCCAACGUUAAUCGGGGCAGGGUGAGUCGACCCCUAAGGCGAGGCCGAAAGGCGUAGUCGAUGGGAAACAGGUUAAUAUUCCUGUACUUGGUGUUACUGCGAAGGGGGGACGGAGAAGGCUAUGUUGGCCGGGCGACGGUUGUCCCGGUUUAAGCGUGUAGGCUGAUUUUCCAGGCAAAUCCGGAAAAUCAAGGCUGAGGCGUGAUGACGAGGCACUACGGUGCUGAAGCAACAAAUGCCCUGCUUCCAGGAAAAGCCUCUAAGCAUCAGGUAACAUCAAAUCGUACCCCAAACCGACACAGGUGGUCAGGUAGAGAAUACCAAGGCGCUUGAGAGAACUCGGGUGAAGGAACUAGGCAAAAUGGUGCCGUAACUUCGGGAGAAGGCACGCUGAUAUGUAGGUGAAGUCCCUCGCGGAUGGAGCUGAAAUCAGUCGAAGAUACCAGCUGGCUGCAACUGUUUAUUAAAAACACAGCACUGUGCAAACACGAAAGUGGACGUAUACGGUGUGACGCCUGCCCGGUGCCGGAAGGUUAAUUGAUGGGGUUAGCGGCAACGCGAAGCUCUUGAUCGAAGCCCCGGUAAACGGCGGCCGUAACUAUAACGGUCCUAAGGUAGCGAAAUUCCUUGUCGGGUAAGUUCCGACCUGCACGAAUGGCGUAAUGAUGGCCAGGCUGUCUCCACCCGAGACUCAGUGAAAUUGAACUCGCUGUGAAGAUGCAGUGUACCCGCGGCAAGACGGAAAGACCCCGUGAACCUUUACUAUAGCUUGACACUGAACAUUGAGCCUUGAUGUGUAGGAUAGGUGGGAGGCUUUGAAGUGUGGACGCCAGUCUGCAUGGAGCCGACCUUGAAAUACCACCCUUUAAUGUUUGAUGUUCUAACGUGGGCCCCUAAUCGGGGUUGCGGACAGUGUCUGGUGGGUAGUUUGACUGGGGCGGUCUCCUCCUAAAGAGUAACGGAGGAGCACGAAGGUUGGCUAAUCCUGGUCGGACAUCAGGAGGUUAGUGCAAUGGCAUAAGCCAGCUUGACUGCGAGCGUGACGGCGCGAGCAGGUGCGAAAGCAGGUCAUAGUGAUCCGGUGGUUCUGAAUGGAAGGGCCAUCGCUCAACGGAUAAAAGGUACUCCGGGGAUAACAGGCUGAUACCGCCCAAGAGUUCAUAUCGACGGCGGUGUUUGGCACCUCGAUGUCGGCUCAUCACAUCCUGGGGCUGAAGUAGGUCCCAAGGGUAUGGCUGUUCGCCAUUUAAAGUGGUACGCGAGCUGGGUUUAGAACGUCGUGAGACAGUUCGGUCCCUAUCUGCCGUGGGCGCUGGAGAACUGAGGGGGGCUGCUCCUAGUACGAGAGGACCGGAGUGGACGCAUCACUGGUGUUCGGGUUGUCAUGCCAAUGGCACUGCCCGGUAGCUAAAUGCGGAAGAGAUAAGUGCUGAAAGCAUCUAAGCACGAAACUUGCCCCGAGAUGAGUUCUCCCUGAGACUUAGAGUCUCCUGAAGGAACGUUGAAGACGACGACGUUGAUAGGCCGGGUGUGUAAGCGCAGCGAUGCGUUGAGCUAACCGGUACUAAUGAACCGUGAGGCUUAACCUU